rnacentral:rRNA from 1 species
UACAGGGGGUGCAAACGUUGCUCGGAAUUAUUGGGCGUAAAGCGCGCGUAGGCGGCCACUUAAGUCGGAUGUGAAAGCCCUGGCUCAACUGGGGAAGUGCACCCGAAGCUGAAUGGCUUGAAUGCAAAAGAGGGUCGCGGAAUUCCCGGUGUAGAGGUGAAAUUCGUAGAUAUCGGGAGGAACACCGGUGGCGAAGGCGGCGACCUGGGUUGACAUUGACGCUGAGGCGCGAAAGCGUGGGGAGCGAACAGG